rnacentral:rRNA from 1 species
GACGAACGCUGGCGGCGUGCCUAAUACAUGCAAGUUGAGCGCUGAAGGUUGGUACUUGUACCAACUGGAUGAGCAGCGAACGGGUGAGUAACGCGUGGGGAGUCUGCCUUUGAGCGGGGGACAACAUUUGGAAACGAAUGCUAAUACCGCAUAAAAACUUUAAACACAAGUUUUAAGUUUGAAAGAUGCAAUUGCAUCACUCAAAGAUGAUCCCGCGUUGUAUUAGCUAGUUGGUGAGGUAAAGGCUCACCAAGGCGAUGAUACAUAGCCGACCUGAGAGGGUGAUCGGCCACAUUGGGACUGAGACACGGCCCAAACUCCUACGGGAGGCAGCAGUAGGGAAUCUUCGGCAAUGGACGAAAGUCUGACCGAGCAACGCCGCGUGAGUGAAGAAGGGUUUCGGAUCGUAAAACUCUGUUGGUAGAGAAGAACGUUGGUGAGAGUGGAAAGCUCAUCAAGUGACGGUAACUACCCAGAAAGGGACGGCUAACUACGUG